rnacentral:rRNA from 2 species
GCAAGUCUGGUGCCAGCAGCCGCGGUAAUUCCAGCUCCAAUAGCGUAUAUUAAAGUUGUUGCAGUUAAAAAGCUCGUAGUUGAACUUUGGGCCUGGGCGGGCGGUCUACCUAUGGUAAGUACUGUUGCGGCCGGGUCUUUUCCUUCUGGCUAACUCUUCGGAGUGAACCAGGGCGAUUACUUUGAGGAAAUUAGAGUGUUCAAAGCAGGCCUUUGCUCGGAUAUAUUAGCAUGGAAUAAUAGAAUAGGACGUUAUGGUUCUAUUUUGUUGGUUUCUAGGACCAUCGUAAUGAUUAAUAGGGACGGUCGGGGGCAUCAGUAUUCAGUUGUCAGAGGUGAAAUUCUUGGAUUAACUGAAGACUAACUACUGCGAAAGCAUUUGCCAAA